rnacentral:rRNA from 1 species
UACGAAGGGGGCUAGCGUUGCUCGGAAUUACUGGGCGUAAAGGGCGCGUAGGCGGCACUGUUAGUCAGGCGUGAAAGUCCUGGGCUCAACCUGGGAAUUGCGCUUGAUACGGCAGAGCUAGAGGAUGGAAGAGGGUCGCGGAAUUCCCAGUGUAGAGGUGAAAUUCGUAGAUAUUGGGAAGAACACCGGUGGCGAAGGCGGCGACCUGGUCCAUUACUGACGCUGAGGCGCGACAGCGUGGGGAGCAAACAGG